UCAGCUUUGCUUUUCUCUUCUUUAGACGGCUUCUCGCUUGGAUUACAGUUUGGGAUCCUUGUGGGAAGUUUCUUCUCUUGAAUGGAAGUCUUCUCGAAGUUUGAAGCCAUGAACUCUCUGUGCGUGUUGCUCUCGCACUCUGAAUCAGGUGCUUUCGCUUGAAGACCGUUAUCAGCAGAUCCUUCAGUGAGAGGUUUCUCAACUAGUUUCUCUGUACCAGGUCCGUACAGUUCUUCACAUUCAGCUAAAGAAAGGAUCUCACCUCCCUCUCCUUCUCCCUCUGCCUCAGCCUCAGCUUCAGGUACAGGCUCCAUAGGAACAAAGCUCUUCCCAUCUUCUUCACCAUUUGUUGUCCCUUCCUGGUUUAUUGUUGUUUCUUCAUUCCCCAAGACCUCAGAUUGAUUUAGAACUUUCUCAGGUUGAACAGUGGAUAAAACUACCUUCACCUUAGUCAAACCUUCAUCCUGCUGUGUUUCUGCAGCUUUUGUAGCCUUGGUAGCACCAAUAUAGUCUUCGUCAUCUAACUCAUACUCAAAAUCCCCAAAGAUGUCUGUAUCAGGAACUGAACCAAUGUCCAGUACAUUAUCUGGGCCUACUGCCUCCCUGGCUUUGUCAAAAGAACUGUCUUCUUUAUCUGGAGGAACUUCUGAUGAACGGUUCGGGCUGUUUGGUGGUGAAUCAACAAGACCAGCUGCUCUGAGCGCUUGAAGAACGGCUAGAUCAUUUGAAUCUUUAUCAUCGACAUGUUCUAUUCCGUUAUUAGACAGUGGUGGUGAAGUACUUGGUUCUACAGCAUUACUGUCCAUCGCUUUGCUCUCUGAAUGGUGCAGUAUUUCUUGUGAGCAUAGAUUCAGAUACACAACCUUGCUACUUGAUUUGUCAGCGAUCACUUUCUCGAUAUUUAUAGCAUCUGCAACGGCUAGUUCUGUUGCUGCACUUCUUCGAACUUCCAGAAGAUUUUCUUUCUUCAAUAAAUGUUCUGUCAGCCGGUAUAAUUGUGCCUGCAGCAAGAGUGAUUCGCUUAUGAACAAAAACAAGUACAUAGAGUGAUUGGCUAGCUAUUUCACCGAUUUUUUUCAAAUCAACAACACAUAACCGUGUACACAUUGCUUAUGAACCAAAACAAGCACAUAGAGUGAUAGGCUAGCUAUUUCACCAGUUUUUUUUUCAAAUCAACAACACAUAACCGUGCACUCAUUAAGCUAUAGACAAGCAUGAAAUCUUGUAUUGUAGACCUCCUCUACAAGUGAAACAUGUGCUAAUAGCUCAAGCCUAUUAUGCUAUUUGACCCAGAGCUAAAAGAAUAUCAAAAGCCCGUGACUUCCCCUUCAAUAUCUAGAACUAAACAAUACCACGAAGAAUUAGAAGCUGAAGUAAAAAGCUACUCACGUACCUGCCUAACUGUAACAGGAACUUUAUUAUGGCGACUGGUCGCAAGGUUUGGCCUCAUAUCAGCUGGAAGUUGAGCCUGACAGCAAUCGUAGAAACAAACAAGCAACAAUUUCAAAACAACAGAUAUCUAAAAGCUGACAAAGCAAGGGCCGAGAAUCACACACCAACAAUGGAUAAUUCCCUUUGAGCUCAGGAGAGCCUUCUUUGUCUUCGCUUGAGUUGCUGCCUGCUAAAGCUUUCUUUCUAGCAAGAACCUGCAAUGCCCAUUUCCUUUUGUCUUUCUUCAGCUCAUCUGGAUUCUCAAAAAUAGGCGGUUUGCUUCCCGAGUUUAUUUUUGAUCCAGCAGCAUUUGAGUUGUUCCCUUUGACAUCGCUGCUCUUUGGUAAGGUCUUGUCCAGUCCUGUUUCUUUCGAUCCCACAAGAGGUUUGAUAUCAUGAUUUCUCGGGAACACAGAGGUAUCUGCCAAAUAUAAUCUGGAGAGAAUAGGAUUUGAAGCCUGUGGGGCUUCAGAUGAAACAUUUUUCUCGGUGUCAGCUGGAUUUUUCUUCAAGAGGCUAAGAACAGACUUCAGAGUCUCAAUUUUCUCAGGCUUUCCAGCUUUCAUGCACCGAUGCUUCCAGAACUCAACUUCACAGUCCCGAUGCCAUGCACUUUUCCGCUUCCCAUUUGUAUCUGCAUAAAUUUUCUUAGUGAGAUUCUCUCGGACUUUUCCUUUCUGCAGCAUCAAUUUCUUUGCCUUCAAUGCCACAGCCGGAAUUUUUCUAGGUGCUUCAUCCGUUUUGGAACCUGCCACAGCAGCUCUGAAAGCGGCCAAGAGUUUUGGAUCAAACUGGUCUUUUCUGAUGUCUUCCAUUGAUUUGUUACGAACGGCCUCUCUUAUUUCUUUCCUUAGUUUCUCAACCAGAACCAAUGACUCUUUAUCAUCUUCCGGUGUCUUCUUAAUCUUCUUUACCCUCAAACCAACAGCAUUCUCUCCUUCUGAAGACUUAUCCGUAGUAUUUGGAAGCGUGGGUUUCUUUCUUCUAUCCAGAGCUUUGUAGUUUUUCAGUUGCAUAUCGUAUUGUAUGUUCUUUUUUAGUCUGUGAGGUGUUUCUUUCUUUUUAGCUACUGGUUGUGAUUCCGGUGUUUUAGGAAUAUAUUUUUCUGCUUUUUGGUGGCUUUGGCCUUUCGAUUAUUAUUCUUCCUUUGGCCCGCUUUUUUAGUUUAUGUGUUGGUUGUCUAGUUUCUUAUUCUUAAUUUGAUUAUCUUAUGAUACUAAUAUUGAAAUAAAUAUAAUUUGUAAAUGAAAUAAUAAAAAUUAGUAAAAAUAAUAAAAUGAUGAAAAGUCUUGCUAUUUUUAGGUGUGAAUAAAUUAAAUAUUUAAAAUAUAUUUAUAUUAUUUUAUUUAUUUCUUGAAUUUUAGUAAACAAAUCACCAAAAUACCCUUGUAUUGGUUUAAUCAUAUGUUUGAUAUUAAUUUUAACUAUAGUACAUUUAAUUAUUGAGUUUAAUAUAUUUACAUUAGAAUUAUUUCAAAAUUAACGUUCCUUUUUGCGGUUUGGGCGGAAAAUUUUUUUUUUUGGUUUUAGCGAGAAAGCACAUUUUUCGGUUAUGGCGGAAAAACACAAUUUUUCGGUUCUGGCGAGAAAACGAGAUUUUUUUGUUUUGGCGAGAAAACACGUUUUUUGCGGUUUUGGCGGAAAAUGACGUUUUUGGCGGGAAAACGCGUUUUUUUGCGGUUUUGAAAGGAAACACGUUUUUGCGAUUUUCGCGGGAAAACAGAAUUUUUCGGUUUUGGCGAGAAAACGAGAUCUUUCGUUAUUGGUGGGAAAACGCGUUUUGCGGUUUUGGCGAAAAAAUAUAUUUUUGCGGUUUUGGCGGGGAAACGCGUUUUUGCCGUUUUAGCAGAAAAACACAUUUUUGCGGUUUUGGCGGGAAAACGCGUUUUUUGCGGUUUUGGCGGGAAAACGCGUUUUUGCUGUUUUAGCAGAAAAACACAUUUUUGCAGUUUUGGCAGGAAAACACGUUUUUGCGGUUUUGGCAGGGAAACACGUUUUUGCGGUUUUAGCGGAAAAACACGUUUUUGCGGUUUUGGCGGGGAAACACGUUUUUGCGGUUUUGGCGGGAAAAUACGUUUUUGGCAGGAAAACGCGUUUUUGCGGUUUUGGCGGGGAAACACGUUUUUGGCGGAAAAACGCGUUUUUGCAGUUUUGGUCGGAAAAACGAGAUUUUUCGGUUUUGGUGGGAAAACGAGAUUUUUCGGUUUUGGUGGAAAAAUACGUUUUUUGCAGUUUUGACGGGAAAACGUGUUUUUGCAAUUUUGGCGGGAAAUUACGUUUUUGGGGUUUUGGCGUGAAAAAAUAGUUUUUAGGUUUUCGCGGAAAAACGUGUUUUUGUAGUUUUGUCAGUUUUCGUAUGUGACAAAAAUGAUAUUAUGUUUAGGUUUGUAAUCUGUGAAUUACAUUAGGGGCAUAAUAGACAUUAUACCAUUUUGAAUGAACCAUCUCCAUUCAAAUGAUCCAAAUUGGUUCAGCUGAAUGGACUUUAAAAUUAAGCCUAAAUUUCCAAAAGUCAUCCAGAUGAUCCAUCUGAAUGAGUUGCACUUUUAGUGUCUAAACAAACAAAACUCUCAUCUUCAUCCAAAUGACUCAUUCAAAUGGAGAAACAAACAGGCCCAUAAUCUCCAAAACUCGUGGAGAAGACAAAAGAUGGAUAACUUAAAUUUAUAUACUGUUUUUAAGACUGAACUAGCUGUUUCCUUCGUCAUCUUAUUUACGCAUCUGCUGCUUGUCACUUGCACUUGUCCUUCUCCUUGUGGUGAGCUCCGGUGGAAGAAGAAGCGGCGGUUUCAACAUAUUGCUCGGCGAGUUUCUUAAUCUUGUCGCCUUCCUUGAUCAAGAAGUUAGCACUCUUGGCUUUGCUAUGAUACUUCAUCACUUUCUCUCUGGUUUUCGUCACUGCCCAUCUGUAUUGAUCCACGUUUAUCACUCCGCUCUUACACAGUGGUCUGAUAUGUUCUUUGAUGUAUGCUUCAACCUAUAAAAGAACAAAAGGAGAGAACUGUCAGGAAAUGAGCGAUUUUGACAUAAGAAAUUUAAUAGCUUUUAUUACCUUCUUGAUGAUGGAGUCACUGAACCCAUCAGCUUUGCUUUUCUCUUCUUUAGACGGCUUCUCGCUUGGAUUACAGUUUGGGAUCCUUGUGGGAAGUUUCUUCUCUUGAAUGGAAGUCUUCUCGAAGUUUGAAGCCAUGAACUCUCUGUGCGUGUUGCUCUCGCACUCUGAAUCAGGUGCUUUCGCUUGAAGACCGUUAUCAGCAGAUCCUUCAGUGAGAGGUUUCUCAACUAGUUUCUCUGUACCAGGUCCGUACAGUUCUUCACAUUCAGCUAAAGAAAGGAUCUCACCUCCCUCUCCUUCUCCCUCUGCCUCAGCCUCAGCUUCAGGUACAGGCUCCAUAGGAACAAAGCUCUUCCCAUCUUCUUCACCAUUUGUUGUCCCUUCCUGGUUUAUUGUUGUUUCUUCAUUCCCCAAGACCUCAGAUUGAUUUAGAACUUUCUCAGGUUGAACAGUGGAUAAAACUACCUUCACCUUAGUCAAACCUUCAUCCUGAUGUGUUUCUGAAGCUUUUGUAGCCUUGGUAGCACCGAUGUAGUCUUCGUCAUCCAACUCAUACUCAAAAUCCCCAAAGAUGUCUGUAUCAGGAACUGAACCAAUGUCCAGUACAUUAUCUGGGCCUACUACCUCCCUAGCUUUGUCCAGAGAACUGUCUUCUUUAUCUGGAGGAACUUCUGAUGAACGGUCCGGGCUGUUUGGUGGUGAAUCAACGAGACCUGCUGCUCUGAGCGCUUGAAGGACGGCUAGAUCAUCUGAAUCUUUAUCAUCGACAUGUUCUAUUCCGUUAUUAGACAGUGGUGGUGAAGUAGUUGGUUCUACAGCCUUAUUGUCCAUCGCUUUGCUCUCUGAAUGGUGCAGUAUUUCUUGGGAGCAUAGAUUCAGAUACACAACCUUGCUACUUGAUUUGUCAGCGAUCACUUUCUCGAUAUUUAUAGCAUCUGCAACGGCUAGUUCUGUUGCUGCACUUCUUCGAACUUCCAGAAGAUUUUCUUUCUUCAAUAAAUGUUCUGUCAGCCGGUAUAAUUGUGCCUGCAGCAAGAGUGAUUGGCUUAUGAACAAAAACAAGUACAUAGAGUGAUUGGCUAGCUAUUUCAC
rnacentral:lncRNA from 1 species